rnacentral:tRNA from 1 species
UAAAGGUUAGUUUAUAUAGUAAAACACUAGGUUGUCAGCUUAGAAAAGCGUUUGACUCGUGCCUUUAG